GAUGAACGCUGGCGGCGUGCCUAAUACAUGCAAGUCGAGCGAACGGACGAGAAGCUUGCUUCUCUGAUGUUAGCGGCGGACGGGUGAGUAACACGUGGAUAACCUACCUAUAAGACUGGGAUAACUUCGGGAAACCGGAGCUAAUACCGGAUAAUAUUUUGAACCGCAUGGUUCAAAAGUGAAAGACGGUCUUGCUGUCACUUAUAGAUGGAUCCGCGCUGCAUUAGCUAGUUGGUAAGGUAACGGCUUACCAAGGCAACGAUGCAUAGCCGACCUGAGAGGGUGAUCGGCCACACGAGAGCGGAGACACGGUCCAGACUCCUACGGGAGGCAGCAGUAGGGAAUCUUCCGCAAUGGGCGAAAGCCUGACGGAGCAACGCCGCGUGAGUGAUGAAGGUCUUCGGAUCGUAAAACUCUGUUAUGAGGGAAGAACAUAUGUGUAAGUAACUGUUCACAUCGUGACGGUACCGAAUCAGAAAGCCACGGCUAACUACGUG
rnacentral:rRNA from 1 species